AUGGAGCUGUUUUCACUAAUCUGCAGUUUAAAAUUAUGUCCUCAGCUUUCUUUAAGAAUUGUUGUGAAAACCACUUCCGCAUUUGUUAGAAAAUUGUGGUUGGGGGAGUUGUCCACUUUUUCAUUCAAGAGAUCGGAAAGCGCCGAGAGACGCUGGGGGAGCUCCAGGUCCCAGGCAGCAUCCCCACACCCCCGGCUUUCCCCACCCGGUCGCCCCAGCCCCCGCUUCUGCAGACCCAACUGGGGAGCCCCCUACCUGGCCGGUCGGCUUGGCGCAGGGGCGGUGCUGAGUCGGCGGAGAGCCCGAGUCGGAAUGCGGCAGGUCGCCUUUGCAGUACCGGGGCGGGAGCCGCGACCGCCGCCGCAGCCGCAUCCGAGAGGCGCCGGGGCAAACUCGCCGCCCUCACCCCCUCGUCCUGCGGCCGUUCAGGUGGACAGUCGCUUUACUGAGCAGCUACGGCGGAAAUAUCCAUUCCCUACCCCCAUUCUCACCGGUUGCCAGCAACCUAGAGACGCUGUCCUCUCUCUGGUGCAGGGAGUUCCGGAGGAUGCGGGGCGGAAAAGCAAAAUGCCACCCUCUCCCGAAGCUCUGAAGCAAAUGAUGAUAAACAGCACUCUCGCCCCCUCCUAACACUACGGGAGCCCUUGAUUCGAUCCCGAAAGAGGCGGGCGAGCAAGAGCCUGGGUCUACAUGGCUCUCGGGUCCCCUCGGAUUCCGUAGCCCAGCGUGGACCUCGCCGAGGCUCCGCUGCGCGUCCGGAGCCGUUAGGAGCUCCGAGUGGGGCAGGGUGCGUGCGGCGGCGGGUCCGCUCGGUCCAUUUCUGGGCGCUGCAAGAUCAGCAGAAACCUGAGAAAGCGCCUGGAAUGCGGAGCAGCGAUUGGCCCACCCGGGCGUGGGUUGGGGAGGGCGGAGGAGGGCAGGAGCGAGGAGGUAGAUGGAAAAUAUGAGGGGGUGGCUUGGCAGAGGGGGGUUGUCAUUCAGUUCCCACCCUUGCCAGCACAGCUUUUUCCUUCUCUUGCUAGAAAAGCCGACCACCAAUUCUACCACCCUUAUGGUCCACAGCCACGCACACGCACAGUCCCUAGCCACGACCUUCCCCGGGAAUUUCACAUUGUAAAUGGUCAGGUCCGACGCAAUGCAGGCGGUGGUGUUCCUGGCAAAACUCCUCGGAUGGGUCUGCGUUUGUGCAGUCCCACAAUAAUCCGCUUCGGUCGCCACGCUCUGCACGCCCUCCGCCCCUCCGGCAGGGGGCUCUCUGCGGGGCCAUCCCAGCUUCUCUCCGCCGGACUCAGAGAGAUGCCAACUUGGGGAAGAGCUCUGCAGUUGAGGAUCACCUGGGUCUGUUCUGUGUCGUGUUACUGCGAGGCAGAGGUGCUAAAAGUCUGUCCCUCUUUGACUUACGAGGGGAGUUGAAGUUUCACUAUCAGAUUAUUUUAAAAUACGGAGAAUGUGACUUUGGGCAACCAAAGGGUUUGUAGGGUUGUCUGCCAACUUGGCGCUAAUUGGGACGAAUCUGAGAAGCAAGUCGCCCGCCCACCUCCCACCUACGUUCUUCCUCCAGCAGCCUCUUUUCCCGGCCUAGUGCCUCCACAGGGCCAUUUGCACGGCUUGCAACUUCGGGAAAGGGUCGGUACAGAGGCGCAGGGCAGCACGAGCCGGGGAAGUGCGCGGUGCACUGGGAGGGCGGCUCCCGCUGCGCCCCCAGAGGCGCUGCGCCUCCGCGCCUGCAGCGCCGGAGAGCCAGCCAGCAGCUCGGUACUCGAACUGCUGCGGAGUCUCUGAGGAGGCUGCGAGAACCCGGGCGCCGCUGAUUGGUUUACCCCGCUGCCUCGGAACCACGCCUUCGCACCGCCGCGGAUCUCGCCGCCUCCCGCCCACAGGACCCACCUCUUUAAUCAAAGCCAACGAUUGCAUGUCCCCGACCCCCACCCGCCCGGCACUCUGUACCGGCUGGUGGAAAGCAGGGGCCUCUGCGGGGUCGCCCAGGCAGUGCAAGAGUCCUGGGUGUGCAACUACUUAAGUCCCUCCUCCAGACUGAGACUCCAGCGUUCCUUUCAGAAAAAUAAAAGUAUCUGUUCCCUCCGCUCUGCUCUGCCG
rnacentral:lncRNA from 1 species